rnacentral:rRNA from 1 species
ACAAACCCGGAGGAAGGUGGGGAUGACGUCAAGUCCUCAUGGCCCUUAUGGUAGGGCUUCACACGUCAUACAAUGGUCGGUACAGAGGGUCGCCAACCCGCAGGGGGAGCCAAUCCCACAAAGCCGAUCGUAGUCCGGAUUGGAGUCUGCAACUCGACUCCAUGAAGUCGGAAUCGCUAGUAAUCGUGGAUCAGCAUGUCACGGUGAAUACGUUCCCGGGUCUU